GACGUAGGGCGCGAGCGUUGUCCGGAUUUAUUGGGCGUAAAGAGCUCGUAGGCGGCUUGUUGCGUCAGCUGUGAAAACCCGCAGCUCAACUGUGGGCUUGCAGCUGAUACGGGCAGGCUCGAGUUCGGUAGGGGAGACUGGAAUUCCUGGUGUAGCGGUGAAAUGCGCAGAUAUCAGGAGGAACACCGGUGGCGAAGGCGGGUCUCUGGGACGGUACUGACGCUGAGACGCGAAAGCGUGGGGAGCGAACAGG
rnacentral:rRNA from 1 species